rnacentral:lncRNA from 1 species
UCCCUAAAUUCCCUGAAUUUUUCUCCAGGAACUGAAAUACACUUCUGGUACCUACACAUGUCCCGAAAAAACUCAAAAUAAGACCUAGGGCCUACUCGGCCAUUCUCGAAAACUCCGGCACGUCGGCUCCGCCGUGCUUCGGCGACGGUGCUGCUGCCCGCGGCGACGAUCCGCCUCGAGUUGGUCGUUUUCGGUCAAAUUCGACCAAACUCGCAUUGAUUCCUGCAAUAAAGCACCCCUAGGGCCCUCGGUGGGCCAAAAAAUUACGAAAAACCGAGACUUACCGGCAGCGGAGAUCUCGGGUGGCUUCUCCGGCGUGAGUCGUGAUUUGAUGUUUUGCUUCGGUCAACCUGUAGAGAAAAGAAUGGUGAUCAGAG